ensembl:lncRNA CHST14 carbohydrate sulfotransferase 14
CAAAGAGCUCAGUCGAGGAGUCUACAGAGUAGCUCUCUUUAGGGGAAUUUUGCUUCCCUCUCAGGCUGUCCUGCGGCUUAAGUCCAUAUGGAUGAGCCUAUUGGGAGAAAAUCUAGACUGUAUGCCCUGGGGAUCUGGGGCUCCAUCACCCAGACUCAAUCUCUGGAUGAUUCUGCUCUCAGCUGAAAGGGUCUUUAUGUCAACAGAACCUAUGGAGACCAGUGCCCACAGAUUGGAGUAACUAGGUCUGUGUGGCAGCCGUGAAAGUGCCUGGCUCACAUCUCCUUUCAAGAGAACCUGCUGUGAGGAGAGAAUUGGCUGAUAGGUCCCAGCUGCUGCACCUCAGUCUGCUAUGAGCAAACGCAAUGAGCUGGGUAACUUGUGACACAUGUUCACCUAUGGAGGACCAAACACUCGAUGGAGCUGGGUUUUCAGCUCAGCCCCACCACCUCUUUGGAGAGAAGACGCUCCAAGGGGUCCCGCACAAACAGGAACUUGAAGUAGUGCUGGAGGCGGUAGCGAAUCUCGUCAGGCCGCAGGUCGGCCAGGAACACCAGGUCGCUGCGGUGGUCCAUCUUGAGGCGGACGUCCACGUUGUCCAGGACUCCCGCCAGCACCUUCAGAACCCGCUUCCAGUUGGAGCAGGCCACCUUGGGCACAUAGCAGUAGAGGAAGCGGUAGCGGUCACUCACGAGGAUGUGGCGCAGCAGGGUGCGCCGCUGCCCCACCGGCAAGUCCCAGGGGUCCCGGGGCAUGCCCGGUUGUCCGCACACUGCCCGCAAGGUCCGGUUCCGGACGUCCUGCCUCACCUGCAGGUCCGAGUUCCCCGCAUCCAGGGACAGCCUCCCAGGCCUGGGGACUGUCCCGCGCCAGACCGCGUCCUCGCGAUUGGGAGGGUGCAGGGGAAGGGGCUUCAUCUCGGCCAGGAUGCCCCGCUCGAUCAUGAGCAGCAGCCCGCUGGAAGCCACGAUCACCGCGAACAUCAGCAU